CUUCCCGUUCCAGUCAUUACCAGUGACUCUUCACACAACUCUACAACAUCAGAGAGAUCUUCAAGGUCAAAAUGUCUAUUGAUGUGUUCUGUGAGAAAUGCAUCAUGGGUGACUCUUUCUUAUUAUAAAGAAAAUGAUUUGCUGUCCAACAUCAGUGGCUCUGGUUUCAGCAGCAUUCUCUCUCUGCCUCUGGAGGUGGACUAUUACGAUCAAAACGCUUACAGCUGCGUUGCUAGUAAUUUCAUGGGCAACCGGACUACACAAGUGAACAUUACAGAUUUCUGUCAGCCACUUUCAGAAAUCUCUUUGAUGUACUGUUUGGUGCUUCUAUUGUUGAUUCCUUUAGCUGUCACAGUGAUAGUUUGGAUAUUGUGUGUCCGGAGGAAACGUCGAAAAGCAGAACAACAGGCUGAUGAAAAUUGCUAAAACUUAAGAACAAUGAGACAAAAAACAAUGUGUAUAAAGCAUGCACAAAGCGUACUGUACAACACAGGAAGAAUGUAAAGUUUUUGCACACAUGCACAAAAUCACUCUGGAUAGUGCAACAUUUUAAGUAUUUUAUUAAGAGCGUUUUGAAAAAUAUUAACUACUCUGUAUAGUUUCUGCUAGUCUGUGUUUGUGUCACCAUCACUUAAAAUGUCCAUCCAGACAUGAUGGUGCAGAUGUAAUGCAGGAUGCUUUUCAAAACCUUCAUGUUUUGGUUAACUUAUGUUCUCACACAAAUUUUAACCAGUGUGAUUUGUAAGAGUGUGUGGUCAUUGAACUUUUAAAUGUUUUAAUUCUCAUUUAAACACAGACCUGUAUGAGGUGACCUUUUAUAUU